CGCGCGGUGGAGCAGAGGUCAGCUCGGCUGGCUCAUAACCAGCAGGUCGGCGGUUCGAACCCGCCCCGCGCAACCA
rnacentral:tRNA from 1 species